AUUCGCCAUCUACUGACAGAUUUAUGAACUAAUACUGAAACCAAUUAAGAACUAAAUACCGUUCAAUGUUUUUCAGAUACUCGUACAAUCGAAUGAAACUGUAAGUUAGCAGAAAGCAGAAGUCUCUCGUCAGAUGAGAUUUGGGAUAUGGCGGGAGUAACUGCCACAAAAAUGAAUUUGUUUGUUUGUUAUAAUAUUUUAAGUUUAAUAUACCUGUCUGUAAUGCCUUAAACUGUGAUACUUUAAACUGAUAUUAUUAAUUUUUUUAAUGCCGAUGGAAAGAGAAGAGGCAGCUGGAGGUACAUCGUUUUUUCAAUUGGGUGAUGAUACACGGCCUCUUGAUAACUGGCUAACAGAACCUGAAGAUGAUGGUCCACUUGUCUUUCAUCGUGUUAAUUCUAAAGAAAUUAUUUAUCAAACACGUAAAAAAAAAGCAAAAAUCAUCGGCAAAUAUGUUAUGGGUGAUAUUUUAGGUGAAGGCUCUUAUGGAAAAGUAAAAGAAAUGUUGGACUCCGAAACUUUGUGUAGAAGAGCUGUUAAAAUAUUGAAAAAGAAAAAACUAAGAAAAAUUCCAAAUGGGGAGCAAAAUGUACAGAUGGAAAUUUUACUUUUAAAAAGACUCAACCAUAGAAAUGUCAUUAAAUUAGUGGAUGUUUUGUAUAAUGAAGAAAAACAGAAAAUGUAUAUGGUUAUGGAAUAUUGUGUUUCUGUACUACAGCAGAUGCUUGAAAAUCUGCCAGAAAAGAAAUUUCCUAUUGGUCAAGCUCAUGGGUACUUCUGUCAGUUGUUGGAUGGAUUAGAAUAUUUACAUAGUCAAGGAAUUAUACAUAAAGAUAUUAAACCUGGAAAUCUGUUGUUAACUACUUGCAAGACACUCAAAAUAUCAGAUCUUGGAGUUGCUGAGGCACUGGAUCGAUUUGCUAAAGAUGAUAUUUGUUAUACCAGUCAAGGCUCUCCAGCUUUCCAACCACCUGAAAUUGCUAUAGGUUUAGAAAGCUUCUCUGGUUUUAAAGUGGAUGUUUGGUCUUCUGGUGUUACAUUGUAUAAUUUUACUACUGGAAAAUAUCCUUUUGAAGGAGAUAAUAUUUAUAAGUUAUUUGAAAAUAUUGGUAGAGGAGAGUUUGAAGUUCCUAAUGACUUAGAUCCACUUCUACAAGAUUUAUUAUUAGGUAUGCUUCGAAAAGACCCCACAGAAAGGUUUACAUUAAAGCUCAUAAGAGAACAUGAUUGGGUCAAAAAGAAAUAUCCAGAAACUGAAUAUUCUUAUGUGUUACCUUGUUCUAAUGAAGAUGAAUACUGUAGCAUGACUGUUUUACCUUAUCUCCAAGAUUUACAUUAUUCCAUUGGGGAUGAUGAAGAUAGUGAUUCUCAAGAGUUUAUUACAGAACAUGAUCUUCAAGCUAUGCGAAGACAAGAUGUUCUACCUCAUAGAAAUUCUCAAAAUGGUAGUAGGACUCGUAGACAUUUUAAAUCGCUAGGGUCCUUGGCCUCAAAUCGUUUAACUUUCUGCAAACAGUCCUGACACACAGUGAAUGAAAUAUUUCAAGUUGUGGGUCUUGGACCUUAUUCCUUGUGUACAAAUUGCUGUAUUGUCCUGAAAAAAAGGCACUUCACAUAUAACAAGAAAUUUAUAAUCCAAGAACUUAUUAGAAAGAAGUUAUCCUCAAUUAUGUCUAAAUGGGCAUGGUUGUAUCUAAAUACCAUUAUUUUUUUGACAUACCGAGCAUUUCCUGUAACCACACGCAUUUUUGAAAAUAGCUGAUACUGCUCUUAUUAAUCUACCUAGUUUCCUACUGUGUUAAAUCUUAUUAUUUAAAAAAAAUUUAGCACAUUUUAUUUAAAUUGUUUUUUAGAUUUUUGGCUAAUCAUAUCAUACAUCAAGAAAAGUUAGAAAAACUGAUAAAAAUGAAUACUUAUGUCUCUCAUCUAGUGAUAUUGUUCUGGGAGAAUUGUAUUCAUGCCAAUAUUAAACAUUGGAUUGAUUUUCAUUUGUUAUAAAGCUUUUCUUUUGAAAUUUCAGAUAGUUUUAAAUCACUAUCAGUUAUUUCAUUAAUGCAUUGUGGAGUACUCAUUUCAAAGUUUUAAAGACUUUUAAAAAAAUUAAUUAAAAAAAACAGUGUAUGCAUUUUUAAAAUUAUACAUAAAUAUGAAAUUUUAUGAUAGAGCAGUAAUAUAAACUGCAUUCUAUAUGGUUAUAUUUAUUGGAAGGGGAAAAAAAUAUUAAGGCAUUAAAAAGAAAUUUUUAUUUUGUAAUUUUGAUACAUACAAGAGAAAAAUAUAAUUAUGUGAAUAUAUACAUGUAUGUGUGUGUGAAUUUGUGAGUUUUUAUUUUAAAUGUGUUUUUAUGUUAUCUUAUUGUAUUCUUUUUCCAUGACUAAAAUUCUUUAUUGUAUAUAAGAAGGAAGAAAGUUUAUUAAUGAUUGACAUUGUUCAUCCAUCCAAAUAUGUCUUUAUAUGUUACAUUAUCUUAUUUUUAUGACAUACAGCAGAGUGCAAUAAUGCUGUUAUUAGCGCACAAUAUGAUUAUGUUUUGUUAUAAUGUUUUAAUCAUUUAAUAUUAGAAGUGUGUAAUCAUGUUGAAACUUUCCCUAUUUUACGUGACGGCUAAGAACUUUGAUAAAUUUAAGGCUUACCUAAACUAUAGCAUCAUAAGUGCCUUAAAAUUAUCAAAAUACUUUUGUGCUCUGUGUUUCAUUGUCACAAAAGAAUACUGUUUGUUCACAGCAUUACUGGGCUUGUUGUUAAUAAAAUGUUAUAUCUUAUUGAGAAGUUUUAUUUUUCGUUUAAAAUAAAGCAGACUCGCUUUAAAGUAUAAAGCAAUUGCUAAUGCAUAGUAAUGUUUGAUUUAAAGAUUUUUUUUUUUUUACAAUUCAAAAAAAAUUUAGGAUUAUCAAAUAUAUUUUUGGCACAU